GAGAAGUGCUUUAGCAAUAAGAACCCGGUGACAGGUGCUGCAUGGCUGUCGUCAGCUCGUGUCGUGAGAUGUUGGGUUAAGUCCCGCAACGAGCGCAACCCUUGUCCUUAGUUGCCAUCAUUUAGUUGGGCACUCUAAGGAGACUGCCGGUGUUAAACCGGAGGAAGGUGGGGAUGACGUCAAGUCCUCAUGGCCCUUAUGUCCAGGGCUACACACGUGCUACAAUGGCCGGUACAAAGGGCAGCAAAGCCGCGAGGUGGAGCCAAUCCCAGAAAGCCGGUCUCAGUUCGGAUUGGAGUCUGCAACUCGACUCCAUGAAGUUGGAAUCGCUAGUAAUCGCGGAUCAGCAUCGCCGCCGGUCGAUACGUUCCGGCCUU
rnacentral:rRNA from 1 species